GGGGAGUCUGCUGAUCCCUCGUGCUCUGCCCCUCCCCCCACCCAUUCUCUCUCUUUCUCUCUCUCUGAAAUAAAUAAAGUCUUAAAAGAAAGAAAGCAGAAGGGGAACCCCACCCACCUGCUCUGUCCCCAGGAAACCUCCCCACAGGGGGCACCUUGCUGUUUUGUGGGCCCAUCAUUUCCAGUUUCAUCUAUGAGGUUCAAGAAAUGGCCUUGGAGCACAUCUUCGCGACCCUGAGGAAGAAUUAGAGGUUACGAUGAGCCAGAUGACUGUUCCACAGAAUGGGACUUGGUCACGGAGAAGUGGAAGUGCCUGUGGGGAGAAGAAAUACACAGAUCUUUCCGUCUUCUCCUUUGAAAUGACAACUGGUUGGUUACUCCUGCCCCAGGAGCCAUGGUAGAUCCAUUAGGACCACAGCCUGUGACGGACGCAACGUGUCCACGGACAUCACCCACCAGGAGGUAACUCAGGCCUUUGCUGGGUGUCAUCUAGGUAGACCCCAAGGGCUGGUGACUUUUAGAAAACUUGCGUAUUUGCCAGAACCCCAGCGAGAGGGGUCAAGAGCUAAAGAGAACGACCGUCCUUGGGUGUUCACUUCAUUCUGACUGCACAGCCUUGGGGGCUCAGUGUUCCCAUCUUCAUGUCUCCUAUGGGGAAACUGAGGCUCAGGGACAGUUCAAUGUCGGUUUAGGCGGGCUUUGGUGGAGCUGGGUUUGGCCUGAGUCCAUUCUCUGGGCUACACUGCCUGCUUUACAGAGGGCUUAAAAUAUAGCAGUAAUGAUGGACAAUGAUCAUUCUGGGAGAGUGAUAGCUCCCAUAGGGCUGGACGUUCACUUGGUGAAUUCUGUCCCCAUGGCAUAUCAUCAGGUGGGGAGUGCUUUUCUCCCAUUUUAUAGAUGAGGAGAUUGAGGCACAGACAGUUUCCCAGCGCUUAAUCACCACCUGACUGUGUUAUCGCUGUUUUAUUACCUGGGCUCGCCACUCAAAUGGUAGCCCCACCAGGCAGGAAUUAUAUCUGUUUUGUACAUUGUUGGGUUCCCAGUGCUUAGCCUCACAGGAGACACUUCAUCAAUGCAUAUUAAGUAAAGGGCAUUGAACCCAGACAAGCUGAAGGCAACUCAAGCUUCCAGAACCAAGAAUUGCC
rnacentral:lncRNA from 1 species